rnacentral:rRNA from 1 species
UACGUAGGGUGCGAGCGUUGUCCGGAAUUACUGGGCGUAAAGAGCUCGUAGGUGGUUUGUCGCGUUGUUCGUGAAAACUCACAGCUCAACUGUGGGCGUGCGGGCGAUACGGGCAGACUGGAGUACUGCAGGGGAGACUGGAAUUCCUGGUGUAGCGGUGGAAUGCGCAGAUAUCAGGAGGAACACCGGCGGCGAAGGCGGGUCUCUGGGCAGUAACUGACGCUGAGGAGCGAAAGCGUGGGGAGCGAACAGG